UCUGCGACCUACACCACGGCUCACGGCAACACUGGAUCCUUAACUCACCGAGUGAGGCCAGGGAUCGAACCUGCAUCCUCAUGGGUGCUGGUCAGAUUCAGUGCUGAGAGUGUGGGUUCUGGCCACAGAGACCCUGAGUGUGAAUUUGACUUCACACUUGCUGGAUGUGUGACCUCGAGCAAAUGACCUCACCUCUUGGUGACUCAGUUUCCGCAUCUGUUAAUGGGCAAACACUCUUACUUCAUAGGCUCAUUGUGAGAAUUCAAUGCAGUAAUUCUCCUGACGUACCUAGGACAGUGUCUGGCACACAGUAAGUGCUCCAUAAAUGCUGGCCAUAACCCCUCUUCUGUUUCUUCAUCCUGCCCUCUCUCUGAGAGGCAGAGGAUUUUAAGUUCCACCUUACAGAGGAACCACUCGAGGCAGGUGGCUUCCCCAGGACCCACAGCUGGUGGAUGGCAUGCUUGGCCCAUGACCCCUGACUCAGACCCGGUUCCAGACAUUUCAGAGCUGACUCCAGGGUGAAGCAAAUGCUCAGAGGCCAGUCUGGGCAGAGGGACAGGCUUCGGGGCAGACCUGGGGCCUGCUUGCUUCAUUUCCAGCCCAAGGAGAGACGAGGAGAGGGGCUGUGUGCAGCCCAGCCUGGCUGAGCUCUGGGGCCUGGGAGGAGAGAGCCAGAGCCUGGGGCCCUGCCGGCGGGGGUUGGCCUGAUCCUCCGGGGGCGCCCAUUCAAGGGGCUGCUGCCGCCCCUGCUCCCUGCUCAUCCCUAGGCCCAGGGCAUCUGUGCCACUGUUUCUAGGCUCCCUUCUAAGAAAAAUAACCCCAGUCCUCCCCGAAGGAGAUGCUGUUCUCCCCAUCCCCUCCCCCAGCCCCAAACUUUUUAGAGGAGCCAGUGGUGAGGUUAGGAAAUCAAACCCCAAGACAUUUUGUUCGGCAGCCGAGAUUCAUUUCUUGUUUGGAUAACUGGAGGCUGAAAAUGCCAAGAAUUUACGGGCAGCCUGGGGAGGCCGGGGCAGCUAGGAGCCCUGGCCAGUUUGGGAGGACCUUGAGCUGGGCCAGGACCCCACGCUGCGCCCUUGCUGGAUAGGCUUUUGACCCACAUCCAGCCAGGCCAGUCCUCGAGACUCCUGGGCUGGGGGACCGAGUUAUUCUGAGGUUUGACGUCAGGGACGUGGAGCCAACAGCAGAGGCUGGGGGGCUUCUGCCCGGCCCCUGACCCCUCCCCGCUUGGCUCUGGGGGCAGAGGAAGAAGAGAAAGAGGCCCUGGCUGAGAAGUUUGGCUGAGGGGUGGGCACUGGCCAGUGCAUCCGGCUGGUGUGUCCUCCAGUGUGGACAGAGCAGGUGGCAGGUAGAGGCAGGAGGGCCGGAUGGCCUAGGGUCAAGGGGGAGAUGCCUCGGGGAGAUGCCAAGGAGACAGGAGAGAGAAUGGGAGUGACAGAGGAACCCACAGAGUUCGAGGAAGGGAGUCAGGCCACCGUGAGAGCCCCAGGACUCACAGGGACACACAGAGGCAGAGACACACAGAGCUCUUCACCCAGAUGAGGGGGUGUAGUGGAGCCAAGAGCUGAUGUGCAGCCCAUGGACAGGACAGCCGACAGCAGGCUCCAGACGUGAGCGAAUCUUGCUGAGAGCCCAGUCUGGGAGGCCAGCGGUCCCCACUCAUCCCUGGUCAUCCCUGAUGGCGAUGGUGGUGAUGGAGGUUCCAGCAGAAGCCAAAAAGAGGCCCUCACAUUUCGAAGACUCUGAGAUAAGCCCAGACCAAGAGACCAUACAAGAGAAGAGCCAGAGGAAGGUCAUGGUCGCAGAAGGUAAUAAGCAUCCCUGACUGGUGGGCGAUGACUGUCUAGGUCAUGCCUGAGUCAGGGGCCCCACGUCUCAUCUGGGGGAGAAACACUCAAGAAAUGCAGGGCUCAUGUUUCUCUGCAGGAAGAGCUCCUAAUGGAAGCAGCUAACAUGGGUUGAGAAUUCUCUCUAUGCCUGGUGCUGGACCAAGGUAAUCAUAGGCAUCAUCUCAUUCAAUCUUCCUAAAGGUCAGUGGUGUUGUCACCACAUUUUAUAGGUGAAAAAAUAGAGGCUCAGAGAGGUGGAGCAACUUCUUCCAGGUCACACAGCUAGAAAGGGGCAGAACAGAUCUUAAAUCCCAAAAGGUGGACUCCAGAGUUGGGCUCUUACCUGCUAUGGGGGUGGCUAUGCUGCUGUCCAAGGAGGUGACAGGACCAGAGGAAAGUGACUGCCUGAUGUGUUUGAGCCGAUGGGUGUUGUGGCAGGCUCCAUUGGCACAGAGUGACCUGGCAGUGGCCCAAAGACUAAAGGGCAUGAAAGGGACACUCCAUCCAAGGGUACCCAUCAGAUGGCACCGCAAGCCCCUGCUUGGACCUCACCAGACACCAGGCAGGACUGGAGAUCAGAGAGAACACCAGCAUGGACAAGUGACAUUUCCUGCCCCAACGUUGCCUGCCAGCCUUGAACUGACUUGACAAGGACUGGGCUUCCCCCGCCCAGUGGUGCAGGGCUCCCGAGAGAGAUGGUGUUGAAUUAAGUAAAAGCCUAUUGAGCUACUGUGUCUUAACCGACAAGAGCCACCCUGUGUCUUCAUGAAGCACAAGGCUCGUAUUAGAGCCAGGCAGCGGGCUGAGAGCGGUGCGUGUGUGCUCUCGCUGGUCCGCCCAGCCACCCCCAGACGUACUGUCAUUUUCUCCAUCUUGCAGGCGGGAAAUCUGAGACGUGCUCAUCCAUAGCCAUGUGGCAAGUAAGUGCUGGGCCCAGGAUGUGAACGCAGAUCUGCCCGAUUCCCACAUCAAUGCUCUUUAGACCCACAGCAUUCCACAGUGACUCCUGCCCGGGGUGAUCAGCCUAGAUGGACAGACAGGUCCGGGAGAGGACACUCCACUGCCAGCAGAAGUGGUGAGCCGGGUGACCUUCAGACCUGAAAGCCAUCGAUUUAAAUCUAACAUUUGGCUCGGCCAGUGUUACCCAAGCACCAGGCACCCAGGGGAGUCAAAGAUGGAUGAGAGGGUGAUACCUGGGGUAGAGAAGGCAGGAGGGAGGUGAGCACAGUGUCUGAGCCAGAGCAGUGGCCAUGGAGACAGGAGGAUGGGACCCGUUGCCUGGGAGUGAAGGACACUCCUUGGGCCAUGGAUGGCCUGCUGGGGAGGAUGGUAACGCUUUCAACAGGAAAGGUGGGCAGAGGAGAGAAGAGCUGCAUCCCAGGCAGCUUUGGAGUUGAGACACUGUGGGCCCUCAGAAGGGAGAUGUCUGGGGAGCCCAGGCUCAUGGAUUUAGGUCUCAAGAGCCCAUCAGAUGUUGGUUUGGUGUCAUCACAGGGCAGGUCAAAGAUGGUGCCAUGGGAGUUCCCACUGUGGCUCGGGGGUAAUGAACCCAACUAGUAUCCAUGAGGAUGCAGUUUGGAUCUC